GCGUGGUAGGAGAGCGUUCUGUAAGCCUGUGAAGGUGUCUUGUAAAGGAUGCUGGAGGUAUCAGAAGUGCGAAUGCUGACAUGAGUAGCGAUAAAGGGGGUGAAAGGCCCCCUCGCCGUAAGCCCAAGGUUUCCUACGCAACGUUCAUCGGCGUAGGGUGAGUCGGCCCCUAAGGCGAGGCAGAGAUGCGUAGCUGAUGGGAAGCAGGUUAAUAUUCCUGCACCGUCGUAUGAUGCGAUGGGGGGACGGAUCGCGGAAGGUUGUCCGGGUGUUGGAAGUCCCGGUCCCUGCAUUGGAGAAGGCGCUUAGGCAAAUCCGGGCGCGGAAUUCAAGGAUGUGGGGCGAGCGGCCUAGUGCUGCGAAGCAAUUGGAAGUGGUUCCAAGAAAAGCCUCUAAGCUUCAGUCAUACGAGACCGUACCGCAAACCGACACAGGUGGGCGAGAUGAGUAUUCUAAGGCGCUUGAGAGAACUCGGGAGAAGGAACUCGGCAAAUUGGUACCGUAACUUCGGGAUAAGGUACGCCCUGGUAGCUUGACUGGCCUGCGCCAGAAGGGUGAAGGGGUUGCAAUAAAAUGGUGGCUGCGACUGUUUAAUAAAAACACAGCACUCUGCAAACACGAAAGUGGACGUAUAGGGUGUGACGCCUGCCCGGUGCCGGAAGAUUAAAUGAUGGGGUGCAAGCUCUUGAUUGAAGUCCCGGUAAACGGCGGCCGUAACUAUAACGGUCCUAAGGUAGCGAAAUUCCUUGUCGGGUAAGUUCCGACCUGCACGAAUGGCGUAACGAUGGCCACACUGUCUCCUCCCGAGACUCAGCGAAGUUGAAGUGUUUGUGAUGAUGCAAUCUCCCCGCGGCUAGACGGAAAGACCCCAUGAACCUUUACUGUAGCUUUGCAUUGGACUUUGAACCGAUCUGUGUAGGAUAGGUGGGAGGCUUUGAAGCGUGGACGCUAGUUCACGUGGAGCCGUCCUUGAAAUACCACCCUGGUUUGUUUGAGGUUCUAACCUUGGCCCGUGAAUCCGGGUCGGGGACAGUGCAUGGUAGGCAGUUUGACUGGGGCGGUCUCCUCCCAAAGUGUAACGGAGGAGUUCGAAGGUACGCUUGGUACGGUCGGACAUCGUACCUAAAGUGCAAUGGCAAAAGCGUGCUUAACUGCGAGACCGACAAGUCGAGCAGGUGCGAAAGCAGGACAUAGUGAUCCGGUGGUUCUGAAUGGAAGGGCCAUCGCUCAACGGAUAAAAGGUACUCUGGGGAUAACAGGCUGAUACCGCCCAAGAGUUCAUAUCGACGGCGGUGUUUGGCACCUCGAUGUCGGCUCAUCUCAUCCUGGGGCUGUAGCCGGUCCCAAGGGUAUGGCUGUUCGCCAUUUAAAGAGGUACGUGAGCUGGGUUUAAAACGUCGUGAGACAGUUUGGUCCCUAUCUGCCGUGGGCGUUGGAAUCUUGACGGGGGCUGCUCCUAGUACGAGAGGACCGGAGUGGACGUACCGCUGGUGUACCUGUUGUCUCGCCAGAGGCAUCGCAGGGUAGCUAUGUACGGAAGAGAUAACCGCUGAAAGCAUCUAAGCGGGAAACUCGCCUGAAGAUGAGGAUUCCCUGGAGGCUUGACCUCCUUGAAGGGUCGUUCGAGACCAGGACGUUGAUAGGCUGGGUGUGGAAGCGCAGUAAUGCGUUAAGCUAACCAGUACUAAUUGCCCGUAAGGCUUGAUCCUAUAACCAGU
rnacentral:rRNA from 1 species